rnacentral:rRNA from 1 species
CACUCCUGCGGGAGGCAGCAGUGGGGAAUAUUGGACAAUGGGCGCAAGCCUGAUCCAGCCAUGCCGCGUGAGUGAUGAAGGCCCUAGGGUUGUAAAGCUCUUUCACCGGUGAAGAUAAUGACGGUAACCGGAGAAGAAGCCACGGCUAACUUCGUGCCAGCAGCCGCGGUAAUACGAAGGGGGCUAGCGUUGUUCGGAUUUACUGGGCGUAAAGCGCACGUAGGCGGACUAUUAAGUCAGGGGUGAAAUCCCGGGGCUCAACCCCGGAACUGCCUUUGAUACUGGUAGUCUUGAGUUCGAGAGAGGUGAGUGGAAUUCCGAGUGUAGAGGUGAAAUUCGUAGAUAUUCGGAGGAACACCAGUGGCGAAGGCGGCUCACUGGCUCGAUACUGACGCUGAGGUGCGAAAGCGUGGGGAGCAAACAGGAUUAGAUACCCCUGUAGUCC